CCUUCAAUAGCUCAGUUGGUAGAGCGGGGGACUGUAGAUUUAUAAUUGUGAUCCCAAGGUCGCUGGUUCGAAUCCGGCUCGAAGGA
rfam:Nematostella vectensis strain CH2 x CH6 NEMVEscaffold_285_Cont22394, whole genome shotgun sequence.